AGAAACUAACCAAAUGGCAUUAUGGUGAAUAAAGCUUGGUUGGAGGAUAAAAUGGAAUUUAGUAUUGCUUGCAUGGACAUAAGGGCUUGUUUGGCUUAGAAUAUCAGAAUUGGAAAGAAGAGGAGAGAGCUUAGAAGCAUGGGAGAGAAGAGGAAGACUCAUGUUCAUCAUCUUUAUCCUCCAUUUUCGCACCUAUGAGACAGCCUCCACCGAAAAGGUAAUAACUCUUCACUCGUAACUCCGAUUGAGCUGAUUCUGGUCCCGUUGGAAAGCUUACAAAUUUCUCUACAAUUUGCAUAUAUGGGUCGCCUCUUGCAUGUUCUUUAUCAUGGAGAAAAACGCGUUUGAAGUAGAGGGUUUGAUGCUGAUUUUUAGGGAAGACAUGCAUGCGGGUUUGACCACAUUGGAGGUAGAGUUUUGAUCAAAGAAGAACCUUGAGAGCACCAUUGCCAUCCUUUUGACCUCUACAACUCAGAAUCUUCAUGGGAUAAGGAACAGGUUAGAAGUAAACUGAUUGCUUGGAGGACUGCUUUGAAGACUAUGGACAAGCAAAUGGCAGGAAGACCUCGUCAGAUGUUAUCUUUCCGCUGUGUAUUAUUGAAGACAAGUUGAUUAUAUACAUUUAUUAGGGAAACUUGAAUUGUAUAUGAUUUUUUUUCUUGUCUUUACCGCUUAUGUAUGUUUCUUGUACCAUUUAUAGCAUCACUACAUAUUAUUCUAGACAUAUAUGUAUGGGGUGUUACAGUUGGUAUCAGAGCAGGUCGAUCCUUGUCCCUGCCAUGAGACAUCAAUAGCAAUUCUUUUCUCCCUCACACGUAUGUGUUGCUAGCCCGAUUUUUACUAUCGUAGUAUUCAUUCGUUGAGCCUGGCCAGCUCACUGACUGUAUAUGCGAUAGAUAAGAUCGUGGUAAAGCCACUACGAGGAUGUGUAAGAUCUGAACGGCUCGAGCUGAAGUAGUAGAAGCCAGUUGAGUAGAAGGGAUGUUGAGAUUAGUUUCCUUAAGAGGAGUGUUGGUCGAGGAAAUUAGGGACAACUCAACUGUCGUAGAAAUGUUUGAAGCAAUUGGAAGUUCCAAGAUUCUAAUUGGACGGGGUGAACCUUCUCUAGAUCCUUGAAGUAGUGGAGGAAUUUCAUGAGACACCUGGGUAAGAAUGGGGCAAGGUAAUUCUGCGAGAGGUCCCAGCUUGUGGCAGUUAAGGGAAUUUUGCUCGAUCAUGGUGUCAGUAGCAUACGUGGAAGGAGAAACGGUUGAAUGGAAGACUUAAGGGAGUUUGGACAGAGAUAUUAGAUCUUUAGUCAAUCUGGUUUGGGAAGUAUUUCUAUAGAUAAGGAGCUACACUGCAACUCGUUCUGAUGUACCCCAAGUAGUAGGUAGUUGAUUGAACAAGUUGAAGUGGUGACCUCCAAUUGGGCAAAUUUCCUAGAUGUCUGUUCUGGUGGAAGGAGCUACUACAUCUUCAUGCUCAUUCUGAAAUGCGUGAGUCCUAGAACUAAGCUAGGAGGCAUCUGAAUGAAUGAAAAUGCAGAGUGCAGUGAUCCAUGUUUCCUACUAGUUGUGAUUCAUCUAACCAGCGUGAAGCCGUAGAACUACGCUAGGUGUUGGGUACUUAUGUGGAUUGAACUAGUGGUUAUCUGCAACGUCGGCGGCCUGAUCUCAUUUUUGUGAUUGUCGUUGUAGCCAUGGUAUUUUGGUAUGGUGGAUGUUAUCCUUGGGGAUUCUCUCGUGUGUGUCCUGUGUAACUGAGUACACACCUGGUAUAUGAACUGAACCGAAUUCUUAUCAAGUCAGGUCUAGCUUGUUGCGUUUAGAGGAAGUUAACAGCGGACGUGCAACACUCUUAGGUUUGAGCAUCCUAAGGAGUGUGACUGGAAGGUCUUGAGGAGCAAUGACCCUAGUGGGACGCUUGUCCAGUUAUUUUUGAUCGUGGCGAUAGGAUACGAGUGGAGAUCGUUAUACGCUACUGGGUAAGUUACUUGAAAGCAUGGCCUCGGAGUUGGACCACCAUGUUAGUACUAUUAGGUAGGUAUGACGCCACAGUAUCGUUGUCGUACACGAGAUGUGUGAGUAAUCUUUUCCAACGGAGGUGAGACAGGGCUGAUCUGAAACUCGUGGUAGGAUCCUGAUUUGGUACUCAUGAGACACGAACCCGAAAUUCUCAUAAGGUAGGUGGGAUGAGGAUCCAUAUGUCGCGCUCGAUGAUUGAGAAUCAUGCGAGUGGGUGACGAUGAGAUGGAUUAGAUUCUAAUGUUACACUUAUGAGAAUACCUUGGGUGAUCGUGGUCGCAUGAGAAUUUUAGGCUUCUACAUUGUGGAUGUUUCUUAAUCUGUCAGAUUGGCGAACCUUUGUGUGUGAGUGUCCGAGGCAAGAGAUAUGUGUGAACAGUAUAUCCUGGACAGCACAAUGUGUGACUAAUCUCUAACCUUGGUAAACACUGCCGGAGUGGAUGAAGUGUAUCUUGGAUUAGCUCGAUGUGGGAUAUACCUAGAGGAGUAUGGGUAGAUCCUCAGUAACAUAGACAAUGUCGAACUUGGAAAAGUAAAGGCACAUCGGCUUUGGGAGUGUCGUGGAAUGUCAAAGGGGGAUGUCUGAGGCACGGAAUAUGAUCUCUUGUUUUGUAACUAAACUUUUGUAGUUAGACAUGUUGCAUUGGGAUAACGCAACCGAAGAAGUAAGCUUUGUGUCAGCUCCAGAGACGAAGAGGCAUUAGACGACUACAUGAUUGAAGUGCGACCGAGAGAGGAUUAUUACAUCAGUCAAGUCAGGUGAGUUAUUAGAAGUAUUGUCACACCAACGGUAUGAAGUCAUAUGGUUAGGAAGAGAUAUCGCAACAGUUGUAGGGUGUGGUUGUCAGUAAGAUCAGGCAAACUCGUACUCGGAGAAAGCAUUUGGCUUUGGGAGUUCUUAAACCGAAGUAUGUGGACCAAGUUGUGUUCAAGUAGACCUAAUCCAGAAUAAUGGAAAAGUUAGUGUCUUAAUUUUGGGAAUUAUUCAACCUCGAGGAGUAGUGGAUGAUGAGUGUGUUUAAGGUUUUGGCACGUGUUGUAUUUGGACGAAUGUUGAGAAGGAAUUGUUGCUAAUAAAGGACUAAGUGUGGUGUAGUAAUGGAACUAAGUGAACCAUGAACGAAGUGUAAUUCAGAGGAUUCCAAUGAGCGUGUGACCGAUAGAGAUCAGAGUAGCGCAACGGAUAGGCAGAAUCAGAUAAGUAUGUAGUGGGUAUGGACAAACUACUUGUAGGAUUUUGUGUUGAAAUAUAGAUAUCUUCCUAAGAGAACUCACUAGAGAAAUGCUUUGUUUGUUUCUAUCUCUCCGUGAUCCACCAUAAUCUUAAGAAGUAAUGUUGAUGGACCGGCUUAGAGGAGGCUUCAUGAUUAUGGUGUGAUCGGAUGUUUCCUUGGACGAUGGUCGUUGUUAACUGUGAGAGUUCAUUCCUUUGUCUGGAGGACUUUGUGUGAAUUUAUUGGAUACCAAGGCUAUCGUGGCAGAAUUUUACAUCUACAAGUAGUAGUGGCAAAUAUUUUGUCUAAGGGAGAAACAAGGAUUGAAGUAAGAGUUUUGCUGUACGAAGACGUUAGGCUUCGAAAUCAAGACCAAGGGCAAGAGUAGGAAAUCAGUGGAAGAUGUUAAGCAAGGUUGAACUUGGUAAAUAUUGAGGACAAGGAAAAUCCAACCAGAUGAAUUACCAAGAAUUUUGAAGCUACGCAGACUCAGUACAAAGAAGUAAAGUUGUGAACCUUGGAAGGGUCAUUCCAAAGUAUGUUGUUGUGGAGCAUCAUAAGGUAUGUGUUGUGUGUGGACUAGUGUCCCAAUUAAGAAUAUUUGGACACAGGUGUAUAUAUAUGAGUUACAUUUCUUGGAUGGAACGACUUUCAAUGGAUGUGGUGAGGUCUAUCCAAAGGAGAAGAUGUGAAGGUGUUUGUUGACAUGGUGAUCGGAAGGAAUUCGAGGGCGAAUUCUAUUUAAGGGGGGGAGAAUGUAAUACCCCGAUUCUUUGACACUGGUAAUUAUCAUUUAAUUGGCUAAUUGGUGAUUAGAGUGCACAUUUAGUAUUUUUUCAUAUUAAUCUAAGAAUGGUUAUAAGUGAGUUGGUAGAGUAGUUGGAAAUAAAAGAGAUUGGUUAAGACCAAAUAAGAGUGGUUAGAAACUAACCAAAUGGCAUUAUGGUGAAUAAAGCUUGGUUGGAGGAUAAAAUGGAAUUUAGUAUUGCUUGCAUGGACAUAAGGGCUUGUUUGGCUUAGAAUAUCAGAAUUGGAAAGAAGAGGAGAGAGCUUAGAAGCAUGGGAGAGAAGAGGAAGACUCAUGUUCAUCAUCUUUAUCCUCCAUUUUCGCACCUAUGAGACAGCCUCCACCGAAAAGGUAAUAACUCUUCACUCGUAACUCCGAUUGAGCUGAUUCUGGUCCCGUUGGAAAGCUUACAAAUUUCUCUACAAUUUGCAUAUAUGGGUCGCCUCUUGCAUGUUCUUUAUCAUGGAGAAAAACGCGUUUGAAGUAGAGGGUUUGAUGCUGAUUUUUAGGGAAGACAUGCAUGCGGGUUUGACCACAUUGGAGGUAGAGUUUUGAUCAAAGAAGAACCUUGAGAGCACCAUUGCCAUCCUUUUGACCUCUACAACUCAGAAUCUUCAUGGGAUAAGGAACAGGUUAGAAGUAAACUGAUUGCUUGGAGGACUGCUUUGAAGACUAUGGACAAGCAAAUGGCAGGAAGACCUCGUCAGAUGUUAUCUUUCCGCUGUGUAUUAUUGAAGACAAGUUGAUUAUAUACAUUUAUUAGGGAAACUUGAAUUGUAUAUGAUUUUUUUUUCUUGUCUUUACCGCUUAUGUAUGUUUCUUGUACCAUUUAUAGCAUCACUACAUAUUAUUCUAGACAUAUAUGUAUGGGGUGUUACAAAAAAAUAAGCGAAUUUUUUUUAUUUUAU